UUGGUUAAGUUAGAAAGGGCGCACGGUGGAUGCCUUGGCACUAGGAGCCGAAGAAGGACGGGACUAACACCGAUAUGCUUUGGGGAGCUGUACGUAAGCGUUGAUCCAGAGAUUUCCGAAUGGGGGAACCCACUAUCUUUAGUCGGAUAGUAUCCUUACGUGAAUACAUAGCGUGAGGAAGGCAGACCCAGGGAACUGAAACAUCUAAGUACCUGGAGGAAGAGAAAGAAAAAUCGAUUUCCUGAGUAGCGGCGAGCGAAACGGAAAGAGCCCAAACCAAGAAGCUUGCUUCUUGGGGUUGUAGGACACUCUAUACGGAGUUACAAAAGAAAGUUAUAAAUGAAGCGGUCUGGAAAGGCCCGCCAAAGACGGUAACAGCCCGGUAGUUGAAAUGGCUUUCCCUCCAGAGUGGAUCCUGAGUACGGCGGAACACGUGAAAUUCCGUCGGAAUCCGGGAGGACCAUCUCCCAAGGCUAAAUACUCCCUAGUGACCGAUAGUGAACCAGUACCGUGAGGGAAAGGUGAAAAGCACCCCGGAAGGGGAGUGAAACAGUUCCUGAAACCGUGUGCCUACAAGUAGUUAGAGCCCGUUAAUGGGUGAUAGCGUGCCUUUUGUAGAAUGAACCGGCGAGUUACGAUUUGUUGCAAGGUUAAGCGGAAAAAGCGGAGCCGUAGCGAAAGCGAGUCUGAAUAGGGCGCAUAAGUAACAGGUCGUAGACCCGAAACCAGGUGAUCUACCCAUGUCCAGGAU
rnacentral:rRNA from 1 species